rnacentral:rRNA from 1 species
GGAUGCGGAUCUCGAAAGCCUGUCCCAGUUCGGACUGGAGCUGCAACCCGACUCCACGAAGUUGGAUUCGCUAGUAAUCGCGCAUCAGCCAUGGCGCGGUGAAUACGUUCCCGGGCCUUGUACACACCGCCCGUCAAGCCAUGAGAGUUGGAGAUACCCGAAGCCUAUGAGCUAACUUUUAGAGGCAGUAGUCGAAGGUAGAAUCAAUGAUUGGGGUGAAGUCGUAACAAGGUAAC